rnacentral:misc_RNA from 1 species
AUACAGAUUAUACUCGUGGGUGGAGUGCAAGGAUCACAAUCUUCAAUUGGGAUGAAAUUGCAUUUCCUGAUUGGUUUGCUGCAGUACAAUUGGACAAAGCGGCUACUGGUUUUGAAGCAAUGUAUUCAUUCAAUGGAAGCAUUGUGAAUGGCGUCAACAAUACCAUAAUCAUGCAAGGGCUUCCAGGGUUGAACUAUCUUGUUGCUGAAACUGAUGGAGCUGACCCACAAAAGAAUCCUAGGGUACCUGGAAAACAGCAGUCUGUAAUCUCAUUUACUAAGAAAUCUACGCCCGGACUUAAUGUGGCUGCUGGAGAUGGUUUUCCAACUAAAGUGUUCUUCAAUGGGGAGGAAUGUUCACUUCCUAAAGUAUACCCCACAAGCAACAGCAAUAGAAAGGGGCCGGCUGUAAAUUUAUGGAUCCUCCUAGCGACUCUGGUGUUCAUGCUGAUGCAGCAGUAGCUGUCAGAUGAGUAACUGCUUGGUUCUACUGUGGCNNNNNNNNNUCUUUCAGGAUUUCAAUGUACACAUGCUUAUCCAGGAGGUUUCACAUUACAAGAAUUUCCAGAAGAUACGCACACCAAUAUUAGUAUAUAUGGAGUUUUGUGAAUUUGAUUAUUGUCAGCAGGUGUGCUGUUGUCUACACAUUCUGAAUGAUAUAUACAAUACUUUAACAGCAUUUUUAAAAGCGAAUGUACAAUUUGACAUCACAAUUUGACAUCCUGUGUAGGAAUUAUUGAACAUUCGCUUUUAAAAAUGCUGUUAAAGU